GACUGAUUAGCUAUAUAAUAAGUAUUUAUUUUGAAAAUAAAAAAAAGGGCUUACCCUAUUCGUCU
rnacentral:tRNA from 1 species